CAAGGAAUUUUCGGCAAUGGGCGCAAGCCUGACCGAGCAACGCCGCGUGCGGGAUGACGGCCUUCGGGUUGUAAACCGCUUUUCGAGGGGACGAUGGUGACGGUACCCUCGGAAUCAGGCUCGGCUAACUCUGUGCCAGCAGCCGCGGUAAGACAGAGGAGCCAAGCGUUGUCCGGAUUGACUGGGCGUAAAGCGCACGCAGGCGGUUGCGGGCGUCGGUACUGACAGUUCGCCGCUUAACGGCGAGAGGCGUACUGAUACGCCGCGACUUGAGCCCGUGAGAGGUCCGUGGAAUUGCCGGUGUAGUGGUGAAAUGCGUAGAGAUCGGCAGGAACGCCAAAGGAGAAAUCAACGGACUGGCACGGUGCUGACGCUGAGGUGCGAAAGCGUGGGGAGCGAACGGGAUUAGAUACCCCGGUAGUCCACGCCGUAAACGAUGGAUACUCGCCCUAUGACGGUUCAAUGCCGUUGUGGGGCCAAGCCAACGCGAUAAGUAUCCCGCCUGGGAACUACGAGCGCAAGCUUAA
rnacentral:rRNA from 1 species